rnacentral:rRNA from 1 species
AGUGAACGCUGGCGGUAGGCCUAACACAUGCAAGUCGAACGGCAGCACAGUAAGAGCUUGCUCUUACGGGUGGCGAGUGGCGGACGGGUGAGGAAUGCAUCGGAAUCUACUUUUUCGUGGGGGAUAACGUAGGGAAACUUACGCUAAUACCGCAUACGACCUACGGGUGAAAGCAGGGGAUCUUCGGACCUUGCGCGAUUGAAUGAGCCGAUGUCGGAUUAGCUAGUUGGCGGGGUAAAGGCCCACCAAGGCGACGAUCCGUAGCUGGUCUGAGAGGAUGAGCAGCCACACUGGACCUGAGACACGGUCCAGACUCCUACGGGAGGCAGCAGUGGGGAAUAUUGGACAAGGGGCGCAAGCCUGAUCCAGCCAUACCGCGUGGGUGAAGAAGGCCUUCGGGUUGUAAAGCCCUUUUGUUGGGAAAGAAAAGCAGCAGGUUAAUACCCCGCUGUUCUGACGGUACCCAAAGAAUAAGCACCGGCUAACUUCGUG